rnacentral:rRNA from 1 species
GGGAGGAUAUUUUUUGUUUGGCAUGCGGGUCUAUACAUGCAAGUCGAGCGGACCGACGGGAGCUUGCUCCCUUAGGUCAGCGGCGGACGGGUGAGUAACACGUGGGUAACCUGCCUGUAAGACUGGGAUAACUCCGGGAAACCGGGGCUAAUACCGGAUGCUUGAUUGAACCGCAUGGUUCAAUCAUGAAAGGCGGCUUCGGCUGCCGUUUACAGAUGGACCCGCGGCGCAUUAGCUAGUUGGUGAGGUAACGGCUCACCAAGGCGACGAUGCGUAGCCGACCUGAGAGGGUGAUCGGCCACACUGGGACUGAGACACGGCCCAGACUCCUACGGGAGGCAGCAGUAGGGAAUCUUCCGCAAUGGACGAAAGUCUGACGGAGCAACGCCGCGUGAGUGAUGAAGGUUUUCGGAUCGUAAAGCUCUGUUGUUAGGGAAGAACAAGUACCGUUCGAAUAGGGCGGUACCUUGACGGUACCUAACCAGAAAGCCACGGCUAACUACGUGCCAGCAGCCGCGGUAAUACGUAGGUGGCAAGCGUUGUCCGGAAUUAUUGGGCGUAAGAGCGCGCGCAGGCGGUUUCUUAAGUCUGAUGUGAAAGCCCCCGGCUCAACCGGGGAGGGUCAUUGGAAACUGGGGAACUUGAGUGCAGAAGAGGAGAGUGGAAUUCCACGUGUAGCGGUGAAUGCGUAGAGAUGUGGAGGAACAGCAGUGGCGAAGGCGACUCUCUGGUCUGUAACUGACGCUGAGGCGCGAAAGCGGUGGGGAGCGAACAGGAUUAGAUACGCCUGGUAGUCCACGCCGUAAACGAUGAUGCUAAGUGUUAGAGGGUUCCGCCCUUUAUGCUGCAGCAACGCAUUAUCACUCCGCCUGGGGGAGUACGGUCGCAGGACUGAACUCAAAGGAAUUGACGGGGGCCCGCCACAAGCGGUUGGACCAUGUGGUUAAAUUCGAAGCACGCCGAGACUUACCAGUCUGGACAGUCCUCUGAAUCCCUAGAGAAUAUGGCUUCCCAUCGGGGCGACUGACAGUGGUGCAUGAUGUCGUCACCCUCAGUACAGGAAGUUUGAUAAGUUCCGCACGAGCCAAGCUUGAAUCUAUGCAGCAUUCAUUGGGCGACGUCUACGUGAACUGGCCCG